GGUGCCGAAAGCUAGGAGGGCGAUGUCCGCAAUCGUGUAGUUCCACACCUUCUCUUGCUUGACAACGGGGGCGUUCGUGUGCGGGUCUACGCUGACCACCUCCCGGGAGUGCUUCAUGAUCUGCUCCAUGGAUUUGAAGAACCGAGCGGUGAUCGCGGACAGGCCGAUGAAGCAGUAUGCAAGCGCAACGGUGUAGAGGGAGGCGCGGACGCCGCCGGAGAGCAGGGUCUCGCCAUGGAACAGCAGGUAGGUGCCCUCACAUGCAGAUGAUGGGCCUGACAUCAGGAAGACCGAUGCAGCCCCAAGACCGGAGCUUGAGAAAAUAUUCUCCUAGCUAGCUGCUACUC
rnacentral:lncRNA from 1 species